rnacentral:rRNA from 1 species
AACGCUGGCGGCGUGCCUAACACAUGCAAGUCGAACGAGAAAGCGGGCUUCGGCCCGUGAGUAGAGUGGCAUACGGGUGAGUAACACGUGGGCAAUCUGCCCGGAGGUGGGGGAUAACUCUCGGAAACGGGGGCUAAUACCGCAUGAUAUCUCGAGGACUCCGGUCCUUGCGAUCAAAGCUAGCCUCUUCUUGAAAGCUAGCGCCAUCGGAGGAGCUCGCGGCCCAUUAGCUUGUUGGUGAGGUAACGGCUCACCAAGGCUACGAUGGGUAGCCGGCCUGAGAGGGCGAUCGGCCACACUGGAACUGAGACACGGUCCAGACUCCUACGGGAGGCAGCAGUGAGGAAU